ensembl:lncRNA
GUCUGCUUAAAGAGCUAGCACCAACUUGAUAGAAAGGCUCAUGAAGACUGCACUUGCGGCGCCCUCUUCUGACCUCUCACCCUGGAGGGUAAGUCAGGAUGUCGUUUGUGACUUGUCCUGGGGCUUUACACUGUCUGCUCCCUCGUCUUCUACAGCUCUGUUUUGAAAUAGCAUGCAGGUGAAAGGCACAAAUACUGUGAAAAGAAAACUCUUCUCUGGUGGUGUUUGUAAUAGCCAGAACCUGGAAGCAACCUAGAUGCCUCUCAACUGAAGAAUGGAUGGAGAAAAUGUGGUACAUUAACACAAUGGAAUACUACUCAGCGGGAAAAAAUGGAAUCUUGGAAUUCACAGUCAAGUGGAUGGAACUAGAAGAAACCAUCCUGAGUGAGGUAACCCAGUCACAAAAAGACAAACAUGAUUCUGUGUGUUAUUUACAGCAACAGACUCAUACUCGUGCACACUCUAACCUGAUUGGCUUUAUUGCAGAAGGAAAUAAGUAAGUUGAUGAAUGAACCUGCCCUAUUUUUACUUUUCCAGAAGAAAUGUGGGAAGGGGCAUGCAUCUGUCAAUGUAGACGGAUCCACUCAAACACUAGUGAUUUGAGUCUGGCUCCUCCCACCCCAGGCCAUCAAGAACGAAAGUGGGGAGUGGGAAGAAAGUGGGAGGCACCAGAAAGACAGCAAACCUCCAGCCAAAAGGCAAAAAGAGAUAUGGGCCAUGUCAUCAGAUGUCAAGUCUGCCCACCUGGGCCCUAUGCUCCAAGGGAAAAGUUAUUCUAUGAAAUGCACAGAGCCCUACAUUCAAGAAUUCCGAAAAAAGACAUAUUUAGCAGUGAAAAGAUCUGUCUUGUUUCUCUGUGUAUGAAAUGAUGUCUAUUACCAAAUGGGAGUCACUAAAAACCUGAUUAAUCUAUUUCUCUUCGCUUCUAGUUAAGUCAGCAUGCCAAAAAGGAUGGAAGGGAUUGCAUUACAGUGAUUAACACUAUCAUUAAAUAUUGCAAUGAUCACAAACUGGCACUUUCUACUAUACUUGCAUUGAAUUUUAUUUGGCUGAGACAGAAAUGUGUAUGUGUUUGGGGAAUGACUAGAAUACUUUAAAAGUAACCAAAUAUAUGUGAUUAAUUCCAGUUUCAGUUCUAGAUGAUGUUUCUUCAUUAAAACAAAUAAACACAGCUUUUCAAAGUUAAUAUAUAGUCAUAUAUGUAGAGACCAUUUUUCUCUUUACUCCAUUUCUAUCUUCAAAGAAAAUCAGAAGUGGUUUAUAUUCACUUAUUGGUUUCUUAUGCUAAAGCUUCAUAAUCUCUCCUUUCCUCGAAACAUUGAUCAGAAAUGACUUAGAUUGUGUUGAUUGGCCUCAUAAAACAUGCUUGUUCAUUACAUUUUAUGGCAUGCUAAGUUAUCCUGGUGAGCAGAAAAUAGCAAGCAUUUUUAAUGCUUUGUCAAGAUAAUGUACUUAACCACAGGGUCUGAUCAACUGUUGAUGUUUUCUGAGAUUCCAGUUGUCUGGGAUUCAAUAUGACAUUUCUUAAAUGGGGAACAAUCAUUAAACUGUCUACCAUGAAGAAG